UACGUAGGGUGCGAGCGUUAAUCGGAAUUACUGGGCGUAAAGCGUGCGCAGGCGGUUCGUUGUGUCGGCGGUGAAAGCCCCGGGCUCAACCUGGGAAUUGCGCUUGAUACUGCGGCGCUGGAAGGUGGGAGAGGAUGGCGGAAUUCCCAGUGUAGAGGUGAAAUUCGUAGAUAUCGGGAGGAACACCAGUGGCGAAGGCGGCGAUCUGGGUAGAUACUGACGCUGAGGUGCGAAAGCGUGGGGAGCAAACAGG
rnacentral:rRNA from 1 species